rnacentral:rRNA from 1 species
GAUGAACGCUGGCGGCGUGCCUAAUACAUGCAAGUCGAGCGAACAGACGAGGUGCUUGCUCCUCUGACGUUAGCGGCGGACGGGUGAGUAACACGUGGAUAACCUACCUAUAAGACUGGGAUAACUUCGGGAAACCGGAGCUAAUACCGGAUAAUAUAUUGAACCGCAUGGUUCAAUAGUGAAAGACGGUUUUGCUGUCACUUAUAGAUGUAUCCGCGCCGCAUUAGCUAGUUGGUAAGGUAACAGCUUACCAAGGCAACGAUGCGUAGCCGACCUGAGAGGGUGAUCGGCCACACUGGAACUGAGACACGGUCCAGACUCCUACGGGAGGCAGCAGUAGGGAAUCUUCCGCAAUGGGCGAAAGCCUGACGGAGCAACGCCGCGUGAGUGAUGAAGGUCUUCGGAUCGUAAAACUCUGUUAUUAGGGAAGAACAAAUGUGUAAGUAACUAUGCACGUCUUGACGGUACCUAAUCAGAAAGCCACGGCCAACUACGUG